GCCAUGUUUGAAUGACGUACAACCAAAUCUUGGGUCCAGGGCGGAAUCGCUGCUAUGUCUGCCUAUUAGGAACAGUGAGGAUGACGUCAUUGGUGUAGCAUUGGUGAUCAAUAAAGUUACAGGAGCAACGUUUUCUCCAGAUGACGAAAAGCUCUUAGAGACAUAUCUGACGUUCUGUGGAAUCGGGAUCAGCAAUGCGAUGCUCUUUGAUACAUACAUGAAGGAGUAUGACAGAAAUAGGAAACUCUUGGAGGUUGCCCAUGACCUGUUUGAAGAGCAGACAAGCUUAGACAACGUUGUUCAGAAAACGAUGCAGAGGGCCCAGUCAUUACUCAAGUGUGAACGCUGCUCAGUAAUGAUCAUCAAAGAUCCAUCAGCUGAGGUGAGUUUAUUCACACUGAUAUUUACUCAAGUGUGAACGAUGUGCAAUAAUAAUAUAAAGGAUCCAUCAGCUGAGAUGAGUAUGUUCACAUUGAUGUUGCAGUCAUUACUCAAGUGUGAAUGCUAGUCAGUAAUGAUAUCAAGCAUCCUUCAGCAGAGGUGGCUUUAUUCACAUUGAUAUACAAGUACCAGUCAUUACCUAUGUGUGAACGCUGCUAAAUAAUAUCAAAUACCAAUUAUAUCAUUCGUAAACAGAAGCAUUCUUGACACGCUUCUAUACAGUUUAGUUAGAAAGGAGGCGUUUAAAAUCUCAUUUUGGGGAAAUCUAUUUUAGAAGAUCAUCUGUACCCACGGAACAAUGACUGGAGGAUUCUUAUUUUUUCUUUUCAAUUGUUGCCUAUACACAUUUAUUACUAUUUCAAGUUUUGUCAGUGUACUCUGAUUGUGUGUGUAAUUUGAACUUGACAAGUAUACUCAUUCCCUAUUUCUAUGUACUUUUUAGGUACAGUUUCAUACAUUAUCUCCGUUAUUGUGGGAAAGAAAUGUCUUUUGGCACAUAUUUCAUCCUCAUUUCGACUAAGGGUUACACACUUCAGUUUCAAACAAAAAAAAUUAAUACGCCAAAUCAUCUCAUGUUCAUAUUUCAAUCAGUCCAGUCGACAGUCAAGUUUUUGUAUUGGACGAAUUUCAGAGCUUCCUAAACUUGUUCAAAAUGGCUCCGUGCGUCGGAUAAGUGUCACUUAUUAUGGCGUCGCAUACCCUAAAACUUAAUGCUCUAUGCAUUCACACUGAUAUUUACUCAAGUGUGAACGAUGUGCAAUAAUAAUAUAAAGGAUCCAUCAGCUGAGAUGAGUAUGUUCACAUUGAUGUUGCAGUCAUUACUCAAGUGUGAAUGCUAGUCAGUAAUGAUAUCAAGCAUCCUUCAGCAGAGGUGGCUUUAUUCACAUUGAUAUACAAGUACCAGUCAUUACCUAUGUGUGAACGCUGCUAAAUAAUAUCAAAUACCAAUUAUAUCAUUCGUAAACAGAAGCAUUCUUGACACGCUUCUAUACAGUUUAGUUAGAAAGGAGGCGUUUAAAAUCUCAUUUUGGGGAAAUCUAUUUUAGAAGAUCAUCUGUACCCACGGAACAAUGACUGGAGGAUUCUUAUUUUUUCUUUUCAAUUGUUGCCUAUACACAUUUAUUACUAUUUCAAGUUUUGUCAGUGUACUCUGAUUGUGUGUGUAAUUUGAACUUGACAAGUAUACUCAUUCCCUAUUUCUAUGUACUUUUUAGGUACAGUUUCAUACAUUAUCUCCGUUAUUGUGGGAAAGAAAUGUCUUUUGGCACAUAUUUCAUCCUCAUUUCGACUAAGGGUUACACACUUCAGUUUC